AUGGCAGAAUUUGUUGUGCUUUUGGGUGGAUGCGAGCGCAUGUGUUGUAGGCCAUAUGACGUUUAUCUUUACACAGAAAGCUUCAUGUUCGGCCGACACGCUGAAAAGCAAAAGCUCUUGAGCUUCUUGUUGGAGCACAACAACCCUGCUGGUGAUCAUGCAAUAGCAGUUCUUCCAAUCAUAGGUGGUGCAGCAAUUGGGAAGAAAACUUUGGUUACUCAUGUGUGCGGGGAUGAAAGGGUUCGCUCACGCUUCUCCUCUAUUUUGAUGUUGGUAGUUAUUGAGUUUAGUUCUGAUGUAGGUGAUGAUGACUGGAAAAAGUUGCACUCAUUUGUCAUAAAAAUGGCAAGAGGAAGCAAGAUCAUCAUCGUAAGAAGAUUAGCCCGGUUUGGAUCGGUGCAACCGAUUUUCCUAGGUGUUAUGUCUUACGAUGAGUUGAGGUAUCUUUUCAAGACGCUGGUAUUCAGGAGUGUAGACCCUGCAGAACAUCCACGGCUAGUACAAAUAGCAGAUGAGUUUGCCAAGUUAUUGUGGAACAUGAAUGGCUCACUUGUUGCAACAAAUUCGUAUGCGGAUGUGUUGAGAAGGAAUCUUGAUAUUCAGUUUUGGCGUUGCAUACUGGGCAAGGGGUCAAAAAUGGUUAGAACAAACCUCUCCAUAUAUGGCGUGCACCCAAACACACUCAUACACCAAGGUCACCCAGUGGACAUAACGGACUUUGCUUUGCAUCCACUUAGCAUGACACCUUAUAGUGUUAAUGUUUCAAUCAAGAAGGAACUGCCAAGUGUGACAUUUGGGGAUCUUAUAACAGACCCGAGUGUUAGGCCGGAAGGAGACUUCACUCUAAUCGCAUGGGAAUCAAGGAUACCCCCUUAUAAAUCAUUUCCUAAUUUUGUUACAAGUCGCCCUCAGGACACACAUCAAGCUAGUGCCCUGCCAGGAAGGAAGCGACAAGGAGAGCCAAUCUAG
rnacentral:rRNA from 1 species